AUGAAAAAAAAGAAGAUAAUCCCUAUGCAAAUUGGAUUGAUUCUUCCCUUUCCAGUUCUAAUGACCGUUGGGUUUCCGCCACACACCAAGCCCUGCUACAUGAUAUUGAUGUUCUUCCUCCUCAGGCGACAUCCUUCUUCCUCCAAGCUGGUGGCAAGCCACCUAAGAUUCCUCUUGUUGGACAAUUGCACAGAUGUAAAAGAGGAGGAGCAUCAAAUCAGUAACCAAAAUGGAUUAUGUUUCCAAAAUCUAUGGGUGUUGGACCUGAGGAAUACAGACUGGUGCUCAAACACAAUGACGUGUUUAAUGGAUGAACUCAGGGAGCUGAAUGUGGAUGGAGUCAAGGAUUGGAUGAGCAUAGUUGAACUAUGUGGCAGUAGAGAUAGACUUGUCAAGCUCCGAGUUGCAGCUGGACCGGACUAUGUAACAGAAAUAAUCAUGCACCAGCCAGCUCCUAACAUAUCCAAUGCCAGCCACCUUAAGACAAUAAUCCUUGAGAAUUGUGUUGGAUUGGAACAAGUUGUCCCCGAGGUUCUGCCCCCAUUGCUUGAGUCAUUUAGUUUCAUCAUCACUAAUGUUGCUAUUCCUAAGAUAUCUAGCAUCUCCUUCCGGGGCCGUGCCAAACUGAAGAGUAUGCUGCUAAGAGGCGUGAUGAAGAACCUCCAGGAGCUGGACCUCUCGGGAACAUCGAUUAAGACCCUUGACCUCAAAGAAGUUGUAGCACUGAACCUCAAGCGGAUCAUCCUAUUGGGUUGUGAGAAGCUGCAAGCAAUACAAUGGCCACCACCUUUCAAAAUGGCAAUCUUGGAGAUGAUACACAUUGAAACCAUCCGAUCUAGAUCAGCAUCUGGCCAUGCUAAUUGGGAAGAAAAGGCCAAGGAGACUAGUGCUGCUACAGGGUCAUCGUGUAUUGUUGCAAUCGCUGCUACAAGUCCAGCUCCAACCUUUGAUUGCUACAUUUCUGUAAGGGAUGCAAGACUCCUUAGGUCGCUAAGGCCCGUCAUAGUAUGUUUCAACUCUCGUAGAGGAGUGACAGGAUGUUUUGACUCACUAGAUAUCUACUUCUCUACAAUGUUUGAAGGAUAUUCUGACUUAGGUGGACAUAUAGAGAUAGCUUAUGUUCCUGCAAAUAGCAUUGUUGUUGGUGAUAGGGGAUGUGGUCAAGGAAUUAGACAGCUUGAUCAUUAUUUAUAUGAAAGAGAUAUCACGUUUCAAGACCACCUGCAUGCUGUUGCUGCUAAUGAGGGUGCAAUCUGCUGGAUGCGGGCUAGCCCGCCUGCUGUUGUUGCCGAAGAGUUAACGGGCUGGUAUAUCCGCAUACAAGAUGAAGAGGAGAUGAGGAGUGAAUUACUGCAGAACCAGAGCAGGACCCAAGGAACUAGUGCUUUAAUCCCUGGUUAUAUAUGUGAUCGUGCUAAGAAGUUGCAUGUGCAUGACAGCUUGUCCAUCACCAGCAUCCCAUUCCCAUAUGUUAUGGUUUUCCCAUAUCAUUUUAUAGAUUGGCGCUCUAUUGUUAGACCAUCCUGGAGCCACCUUGGAUGGUGUCAGAUUGAGAGGUGCCCCAACCUAAGCUCUGUCUUUGCUACUCCCACCUUGGAUGGUGAUGAGGAAAGCCAUUCUAAUGGGUUUGAAUGCUUUCGUCAGUUGAACACGUUCUGGGCAUCCCAGCUCCUGAAGGCACGCUUCAUCUGGAUGUGCAGCACAAUGUUCCUACCCAAUGAAAAUUCCUUUCAAAACCUAACCUUCUUGCACCUAGACUAUUGUCCGAGGCUCAUACAUGUUCUCCCCUUAUCCGCACAUAUGACUACCUUACCUCAAUUAGAAACCCUCGAGAUCGUGUGUUGUGGAGAUCUCAUGGAGAUCUUCCCUUUGGACCCUGAGCGCCAAAAGAAGCAAACAAUUAUAUAUUUCCCGAAGCUGAAGCGCAUCCACCUGCAUGAUCUCCCUAGGCUCCAGUGCAUAUGUGGGAGUAAGAUGUUAGCGCCAAAGCUCAAGACUAUCAAGAUAAGGGGUUGCUGGAGCCUCAAGCACUUGCCUGCCAUUGCCAAGCAAUACCCCGAGGUGGACUGCGAGAGUGAUUGGUGGGACAACUUGGAGUGGGACGAGGGGGAUGCGAACCACCACCCUUCGCUCUACAAGCCAAGGCACUCGAGGUACUACAAGAAGGCCCAGCUGCCGAGAGGCACCAUACUCAGGUAA
rnacentral:rRNA from 1 species